AAGCUUCAAUUUGUUGACCAUGUCACUGCCACUGUAAUCUCCAAACAUCCAUGUCUAGUAAUUGUCAAAUAUGAUUUGUCACUCCUUCUGCCGAUGAACUUCUGCUCUGUGUUUUCAAUCCGAGGGGAAUGGUGUUGGAAUCACCGUCCAAACUGUGUCUUUUGAGCUUAAUUUGCGGAAGGGUUUGGAUUGAUGAGGCUUCUAGUGAGUGGAGUCUAAGUGGGUUGCUUUGAUUUUGUGUUAUGGCUAUGAUUGAGGAGGGAAAAUUGUAAUGGAGGAGAGUGGGGUUAAAAAGAGCUAAGGAAUUGGUCACAUUGUGCCUGAAAAUGAGACGUUUGGCUAUUUGAUUGAAGAACAUGAACGUGAGAGUAGCUCGAGCUCUAAUUUUCUUACAUC